AAGUCCAUGGAUACUCCAAUAAAGCACAGGCAUAGGUGCCACUGAUCCAGCAGAGGCAGCCACAAACCACAGGCCCUGGUCAGCUGUUGCCAGCAAACCGCAAUACACCGAGUCCCAUUGAUCCUGACACCAUCCAGGUCCCAGUGGGUUAUGAGCCAGACCCAGCAGAUCUUGCCCUCUCCAGCAUCCCUGGCCAGGAAAUGUUUGACCCUCGCAAACGCAAGUUCUCUGAGGAAGAACUGAAGCCACAGCCCAUGAUCAAGAAAGCUCGCAAAGUCUUCAUCCCUGAUGACCUGAAGGAUGACAAGUACUGGGCAAGGCGCAGAAAGAACAACAUGGCAGCCAAGCGCUCCCGUGACGCCCGGAGGCUGAAGGAGAACCAGAUCGCCAUCCGGGCCUCGUUCCUGGAGAAGGAGAACUCGGCCCUCCGCCAGGAGGUGGCUGACUUGAGGAAGGAGCUGGGCAAAUGCAAGAACAUACUUGCCAAGUAUGA
rnacentral:sRNA from 1 species